AUACAGGGCAAACAACAACUGUUGCAAUACCAAAAACUACAUUACGACCGACAGCCACGCAUUCGAGGCCGACUCCUCUUUCGACAAGUACUCCUCUAAUUAGACGUACAACGUAUUUUCCAGGUAAAAGUGUUGUUGUCACAUUUUCAAUUACAAAUGUUGACGGUUCAGAAGCAGUUUUAACAGCCGAAUUGCGAGAUCCAAGUUCGGACGAAUUUAAGAGUUUAGAGCAAGAAAUUUGCACCUCGCUGAUUGAUCUAUAUGGUAGCGAUGAAGUUGCAGCUUGUUCAGUGU